rnacentral:rRNA from 1 species
UACGUAGGUCCCGAGCGUUGUCCGGAUUUAUUGGGCGUAAAGCGAGCGCAAGUGGUUUAUUAAGUCUGGUGUAAAAGGCAGUGGCUCAACCAUUGUAUGCAUUGGAAACUGGUAGACUUGAGUGCAGGAGAGGAGAGUGGAAUUCCAUGUGUAGCGAUGAAAUGCGUAGAUAUAUGGAGGAACACCGGUGGCGAAAGCGGCUCUCUGGCCUGUAACUGACACUGAGGCUCGAAAGCGUGGGGAGCAAACAGG